rnacentral:rRNA from 1 species
CGAGUGAAGCGGCAAAAGCUCAAAUUUGAAAUCUGGCACCUUCGGUGUCCGAGUUGUAAUUUGAAGAAGGUAACUUUGGAGUUGGCUCUUGUCUAUGUUCCUUGGAACAGGACGUCACAGAGGGUGAGAAUCCCGUGCGAUGAGAUGCCCAAUUCUAUGUAAAGUGCUUUCGAAGAGUCGAGUUGUUUGGGAAUGCAGCUCUAAGUGGGUGGUAAAUUCCAUCUAAAGCUAAAUAUUGGCGAGAGACCGAUAGCGAACAAGUACAGUGAUGGAAAGAUGAAAAGAACUUUGAAAAGAGAGUGAAAAAGUACGUGAAAUUGUUGAAAGGGAAGGGCUUGAGAUCAGACUUGGUAUUUUGCGAUCCUUUCCUUCUUGGUUGGGUUCCUCGCAGCUUACUGGGCCAGCAUCGGUUUGGAUGGUAGGAUAAUGACUAAGGAAUGUGGCUCUACUUCGGUGGAGUGUUAUAGCCUUGGUUGAUACUGCCUGUCUAGACCGAGGACUGCGUCUUUUGACUAGGAUGUUGGCAUAAUGAUCUUAAGC